UACGUAGGGUGCAAGCGUUGUCCGGAAUUAUUGGGCGUAAAGAGCUCGUAGGCGGUUUGUCGCGUCUGCUGUGAAAACUCGGGGCUUAACCCCGGGCCUGCAGUGGGUACGGGCAGACUAGAGUGCGGUAGGGGAGCGUGGAAUUCCUGGUGUAGCGGUGAAAUGCGCAGAUAUCAGGAGGAACACCAGCGGCGAAGGCGGCGCUCUGGGCCGGUACUGACACUGAGGAGCGAAAGCGUGGGUAGCAAACAGG
rnacentral:rRNA from 1 species